AGAGUCUUGUAAUUGGAAUGAGUACAAUUUAAACCCCUUAACGAGUAACAAUUGGAGGGCAAGUCUGGUGCCAGCAGCCGCGGUAAUUCCAGCUCCAAUAGCGUAUAUUAAAGUUGUUGCAGUUAAAAAGCUCGUAGUUGGAUCUAGGGACGCGCAUUUCAAGCGCCCGUGCCAUCGGGUCAAACCGGUGGCUGCGUUGGCGUUGCGGGCUCGGUCCGUCGGUGCCCACAAAGCAUCGGCGUGUCAACCGGCCCGCCCGUCCCCUCCUUCUGGAUUCCCGUUCCUGCUAUUGAGUUAGUGGGGACGUCACAGGGGGUCCAUCGUCGUCAUGCAAAUGGCGGCGGUGGGUCUCUGGGGCCCAGAUCGUUUACCGUGAAAAAAUUAGAGUGUUCAAAGCAGGCAGAUCCAAUUUUCUGCCACCGAAUACAUUAGC
rnacentral:rRNA from 1 species